AAGUCGUAACAAGGUUUCCCUCCGCAGCUGAGCUUCGGAGACCUUGCAGCCCGUAAUAGGGAGGCGGCGCGACCAUAAAUAAGGCUGGCCACUUGCAAGUUGACCGUGAGGUCAGCGACAUAAUCGACCUGACGGGGACUUCCUAAAGCCUGCAGCACCACCUAGACGGGGAAACCCGUCUGGUACGGUAAGAGUCUGCAGGAUGCACAAUGGGUAAUCCGCAGCCGAGCCCCUACCGCGAAAGCCACGGGGAAGGUUCACAGACUAGGUGAUUAUGGGUCUGGCUGCCCGCCGGAUCUAAGAUAUAGUCGGUCCCAGGGAGAGAUCUCAGAGGUUUCAGCGUCCGUAGGUGAACCUGCGGAAGGAUCAUUAAUGUAACCGGACCGUUCGGGCGCUGUAAAACGCAUCUGUUCGGAAAGGGAGAUAUCAUACACCCUGUGUUUACUUACCUUUGUUGCUUUGGCGGGCCGUCCUUUUAGGCGUCGGCCCCGGCUGAUCGUGCCCGCCAGAGGACCCAAAUUCUUCUAUCAGUGAUGUCUGAGUACUAUAUAAUAGUUAAAA
rnacentral:misc_RNA from 1 species